rnacentral:rRNA from 1 species
AGUGGGGAAUAUUGCACAAUGGGCGAAAGCCUGAUGCAGCAACGCCGCGUGAGGGAUGACGGCCUUCGGGUUGUAAACCUCUUUUAGCAGGGAAGAAGCGAAAGUGACGGUACCUGCAGAAAAAGCGCCGGCUAACUACGUGCCAGCAGCCGCGGUAAUACGUAGGGCGCAAGCGUUAUCCGGAAUUAUUGGGCGUAAAGAGCUCGUAGGCGGUUUGUCGCGUCUGCUGUGAAAUCCCGAGGCUCAACCUCGGGCCUGCAGUGGGUACGGGCAGACUAGAGUGCGGUAGGGGAGAUUGGAAUUCCUGGUGUAGCGGUGGAAUGCGCAGAUAUCAGGAGGAACACCGAUGGCGAAGGCAGAUCUCUGGGCCGUAACUGACGCUGAGGAGCGAAAGGGUGGGGAGCAAA